GACGAACGCUGGCGGCGUGCUUAACACAUGCAAGUCGAGCGGUAAGGCCCUUUCGGGGGUACACGAGCGGCGAACGGGUGAGUAACACGUGGGUGACCUGCCCUCAGCUCUGGGAUAAGCCUGGGAAACUGGGUCUAAUACUGGAUAUGACUCCACGGUGCAUGUCGUGGGGUGGAAAGCCUUGUGCGGCUGAGGAUGGGCCCGCGGCCUAUCAGCUUGUUGGGUGGGGGNGA
rnacentral:rRNA from 1 species